rnacentral:rRNA from 1 species
CCUACGGGCGGCUGCAGUGGGGAAUAUUGCACAAUGGGCGCAAGCCUGAUGCAGCCAUGCCGCGUGUGUGAAGAAGGCCUUCGGGUUGUAAAGCACUUUCAGCGGGGAGGAAGGCGGUGAGGUUAAUAACCUCAUCGAUUGACGUUACCCGCAGAAGAAGCACCGGCUAACUCCGUGCCGGCAGCCGCGGUAAUACGGAGGGUGCAAGCGUUAAUCGGAAUUACUGGGCGUAAAGCGCACGCAGGCGGUCUGUCAAGUCGGAUGUGAAAUCCCCGAGCUCAACCUGGGAACUGCAUUCGAAACUGGCAGGCUAGAGUCUUGGAGAGGGGGGUAGAAUUCCAGGUGUAGCGGUGAAAUGCGUAGAGAUCUGGAGGAAUACCGGCGGCGAAGGCGGCCCCCUGGACAAAGACUGACGCUCAGGUGCGAAAGCGUGGGGAGCAAACAGGAUUAGAUACCCCUGUAGUC